rnacentral:rRNA from 1 species
UUAAGCGACUAAGCGUACACGGUGGAUGCCCUGGCAGUCAGAGGCGAUGAAGGACGUGCUAAUCUGCGAUAAGCGUCGGUGAGGUGAUAUGAACCGUUAUAACCGGCGAUUUCCGAAUGGGGAAACCCAGUGUGUUUCGACACACUAUCAUUAACUGAAUCCAUAGGUUAAUGAGGCGAACCGGGGGAACUGAAACAUCUAAGUACCCCGAGGAAAAGAAAUCAACCGAGAUUCCCCCAGUAGCGGCGAGCGAACGGGGAGGAGCCCAGAGCCUGAAUCAGUGUGUGUGUUAGUGGAAGCGUCUGGAAAGGCGCGCGAUACAGGGUGACAGCCCCGUACACAAAAAUGCACAUACUGUGAGCUCGAUGAGUAGGGCGGGACACGUGGUAUCCUGUCUGAAUAUGGGGGGACCAUCCUCCAAGGCUAAAUACUCCUGACUGACCGAUAGUGAACCAGUACCGUGAGGGAAAGGCGAAAAGAACCCCGGCGAGGGGAGUGAAAAAGAACCUGAAACCGUGUACGUACAAGCAGUGGGAGCCUCUUAAUGGGGUGACUGCGUACCUUUUGUAUAAUGGGUCAGCGACUUAUAUUCUGUAGCAAGGUUAACCGAAUAGGGGAGCCGAAGGGAAACCGAGUCUUAACUGGGCGUUAAGUUGCAGGGUAUAGACCCGAAACCCGGUGAUCUAGCUAUGGGCAGGUUGAAGGUUGGGUAACACUAACUGGAGGACCGAACCGACUAAUGUUGAAAAAUUAGCGGAUGACUUGUGGCUGGGGGUGAAAGGCCAAUCAAACCGGGAGAUAGCUGGUUCUCCCCGAAAGCUAUUUAGGUAGCGCCUCGUGAAUUCAUCUCCGGGGGUAGAGCACUGUUUCGGCAAGGGGGUCAUCCCGACUUACCAACCCGAUGCAAACUGCGAAUACCGGAGAAUGUUAUCACGGGAGACACACGGCGGGUGCUAACGUCCGUCGUGAAGAGGGAAACAACCCAGACCGCCAGCUAAGGUCCCAAAGUCAUGGUUAAGUGGGAAACGAUGUGGGAAGGCCCAGACAGCCAGGAUGUUGGCUUAGAAGCAGCCAUCAUUUAAAGAAAGCGUAAUAGCUCACUGGUCGAGUCGGCCUGCGCGGAAGAUGUAACGGGGCUAAACCAUGCACCGAAGCUGCGGCAGCGACGCUUAUGCGUUGUUGGGUAGGGGAGCGUUCUGUAAGCCUGUGAAGGUGGCCUGUGAGGGUUGCUGGAGGUAUCAGAAGUGCGAAUGCUGACAUAAGUAACGAUAAAGCGGGUGAAAAGCCCGCUCGCCGGAAGACCAAGGGUUCCUGUCCAACGUUAAUCGGGGCAGGGUGAGUCGACCCCUAAGGCGAGGCCGAAAGGCGUAGUCGAUGGGAAACAGGUUAAUAUUCCUGUACUUGGUGUUACUGCGAAGGGGGGACGGAGAAGGCUAUGUUGGCCGGGCGACGGUUGUCCCGGUUUAAGCGUGUAGGCUGGUUUUCCAGGCAAAUCCGGAAAACCAAGGCUGAGGCGUGAUGACGAGGCACUACGGUGCUGAAGCGACAAAUGCCCUGCUUCCAGGAAAAGCCUCUAAGCAUCAGGUAACAUCAAAUCGUACCCCAAACCGACACAGGUGGUCAGGUAGAGAAUACCAAGGCGCUUGAGAGAACUCGGGUGAAGGAACUAGGCAAAAUGGUGCCGUAACUUCGGGAGAAGGCACGCUGAUAUGUAGGUGAAGCGACUUGCUCGUGGAGCUGAAAUCAGUCGAAGAUACCAGCUGGCUGCAACUGUUUAUUAAAAACACAGCACUGUGCAAACACGAAAGUGGACGUAUACGGUGUGACGCCUGCCCGGUGCCGGAAGGUUAAUUGAUGGGGUUAGCGGUAACGCGAAGCUCUUGAUCGAAGCCCCGGUAAACGGCGGCCGUAACUAUAACGGUCCUAAGGUAGCGAAAUUCCUUGUCGGGUAAGUUCCGACCUGCACGAAUGGCGUAAUGAUGGCCAGGCUGUCUCCACCCGAGACUCAGUGAAAUUGAACUCGCUGUGAAGAUGCAGUGUACCCGCGGCAAGACGGAAAGACCCCGUGAACCUUUACUAUAGCUUGACACUGAACAUUGAGCCUUGAUGUGUAGGAUAGGUGGGAGGCUUUGAAGUGUGGACGCCAGUCUGCAUGGAGCCGACCUUGAAAUACCACCCUUUAAUGUUUGAUGUUCUAACGUGGGCCCCUUACCGGGGUUGCGGACAGUGUCUGGUGGGUAGUUUGACUGGGGCGGUCUCCUCCUAAAGAGUAACGGAGGAGCACGAAGGUUGGCUAAUCCUGGUCGGACAUCAGGAGGUUAGUGCAAUGGCAUAAGCCAGCUUGACUGCGAGCGUGACGGCGCGAGCAGGUGCGAAAGCAGGUCAUAGUGAUCCGGUGGUUCUGAAUGGAAGGGCCAUCGCUCAACGGAUAAAAGGUACUCCGGGGAUAACAGGCUGAUACCGCCCAAGAGUUCAUAUCGACGGCGGUGUUUGGCACCUCGAUGUCGGCUCAUCACAUCCUGGGGCUGAAGUAGGUCCCAAGGGUAUGGCUGUUCGCCAUUUAAAGUGGUACGCGAGCUGGGUUUAGAACGUCGUGAGACAGUUCGGUCCCUAUCUGCCGUGGGCGCUGGAGAACUGAGGGGGGCUGCUCCUAGUACGAGAGGACCGGAGUGGACGCAUCACUGGUGUUCGGGUUGUCAUGCCAAUGGCACUGCCCGGUAGCUAAAUGCGGAAGAGAUAAGUGCUGAAAGCAUCUAAGCACGAAACUUGCCCCGAGAUGAGUUCUCCCUGACUCCUUGAGAGUCCUGAAGGAACGUUGAAGACGACGACGUUGAUAGGCCGGGUGUGUAAGCGCAGCGAUGCGUUGAGCUAACCGGUACUAAUGAACCGUGAGGCUUAACCUU